GCCUACGGCCAUGCCACCCCCAACACGCCCGAUCUCGUCUGAUCUCAGAAGCUAAACAGGGUUGGGCCUGGUUAGUACUUGGAUAGGAGACCACCUAGGAAUACCGGGUGCUGUAGGCA
rnacentral:rRNA from 1 species